rnacentral:rRNA from 1 species
ACCCGCACAAGCAGCGGAGCGUGUGGUUUAAUUCGAUGCUACACGAAGAACCUUACCAGGGUUUGACAUGCAAGUGUAGGAAACUGAAAAGGGACCGACCCUUCGGGAGCUUGCACAGGUGCUGCAUGGCUGUCGUCAGCUCGUGUCGUGAGAUGUUCGGUUAAGUCCGCUAACGAGCGCAACCCUCACUGUGUGUUAUAUGUGUCACACGGGACUGCCGGUUUUAAGCCGGAGGAAGGUGGGGAUGACGUCAAGUCAGCAUGGCCUUUAUAUCCUGGGCUACACACACGCUACAACGGUCGGUACAAUAGGUUGCCAAGCCGCGAGGCGGAGCCAAUCCAAAAAAGCCGGCCUCAGUUCAGAUUGUAGGCUGCAACUCGCCUGCAUGAAGAUGGAGUUGCUAGUAACCGCAGGUCAGCAAUACUGCGGUGAAUACGUUCCCGGGUCUU